rnacentral:lncRNA from 1 species
UUCCUUUUCCAACUUCAGCUUCAGAAAAUCGAAGCUCUUGAAAUCUCAGUUCGAUCCCCCUCAAGCCCUAGAAUCGGAAGCCAUCAGUUCAAUCCUCCUCAAGCCCUCACUUCGAUCUCCUUCAUCUAAUCAGUUCGAUCUCCUUGUUCCACACUUCGAUUUGGUAAGGGCUUGAAAUAUUUUGCUGUCAUUUUAUCCUAUUAUUUCCCAACUUUAAACGAUGGUGGACUCUAGUUUUUUCUUUUUGUGAUCAUGGAUUAUGGGUUUAAUUUAUUUUGUGGAUUUUGUUUAAUUUUUUGGUUUUGAAUCAUUUUUUUCUUCCAAAUUUACCUAAAAUAGUGGUUAUUAAGAUUGAGAUUGAUUGAUAAAUUAUGAAUUUUUUUAGCUAUGAAUUCUCCUAAAAUUGAACGGCAUUCAUGCGAAGGAUCCAACAGGGGAUAUUGUAAAAAUUAAUUGUUAGAUCUAUUUUACAGUCAUUUCGUAAAUCGAGGACCUUUUGGUCUAGUUCUCUCCUCAUCAACUAAUUUAUGCUCAUGAGUCAUCUGUUGCCUCAAUAGGUGGAGGUUAAAGAUAUUAGUCCCUUACCAGAUAGAUUAAUGGUUAUGGGUGCAGCCCAUCUGUUGAUAAUUUUGUAUUUGCUGAUUGUCAACUGAUCUCUGUAUUUCCUUUUACGUACUAUUACAUGCUCAAGGUUUUCCCUUUUGACGUUAUUUUGUUUUCUAAGUUAUCUAUCUGCUAGAAUUUGAAAAAUUCUUUCUGCGUAUUUUUUUUAGGUACUCAGUUCUUGCUUGCAAUUAAUUGCCUACAUAUAUUUAAAGAAAUUGAUGAAAUUUCUAUUUUCUUGGAUAGUUAAUUAAUUUUUUCUUUGUUUUCUUUCACUUUUUUUUUUUGAAAAAGAUGUUUCUAAAGCAGGAGAAAAGGAACUAGAUGUAUCAAAGUUAGAAUUUGAAGCUAGGUCUUCAAAAGAUGGGGCAUGGUAAGCCUACACUUAGUAAUCAAAGAAGGUGUUGUUUAUAUUGUAGGUAUUGAAAUUAUUUAGCUACUUCUCAUAGCUAUUUUAGUAAUUACCAAAGUUCAUCUUGCAUAUAUAAUGUUUAUAUAGAAAGAGUGAAGUUAUUGAAAUUAUUUAGCUACUUCUCAUAGCUAUUUUAGUAAUUACAAGAGUUCAUCUUGCAUCUCUAUGUUGCAUCUUUUAUACGGUUCCCUUCCAUGUAAUUCCCGUAGUUUGAUGCUACUACUUUUAAUCUAUUGAAAGUAGUUUGCAUCUCUACUUUUAUUUGUUGGCUACACAAAUUGAAACGAUUUUUAUAAUCUGACUUUUUGUGUUAAAUUUUGUUGCAGGAUAUGGGCUUCAGUCUCUUUGACUAAGUUGAGUGUUGGUAUGAAGAACUCCCUUCUGAAGUCGUCGCGCUUUAGUUUGGCGUAGAAGGUUGAAGAGCUUGCUCCAGGAACAAAUGGAGGGAAUAGAGCAAAGAAUUGGGAGAGGAUAACAUUGAAAGCACUGGAUUUUUGGAGGGGUCUUGAUAAAUUCCUUAGUAGCCUACCUGUACUAGCUAUUGUGGCCUUGUGGGUGAUGAUAAGGUUAAGGCUAAGACCAUCUUUGGUGUAGUAGUAGUAGUAGUAGUAGUAGUAGUAGUAGUAGUAGUAGUAGUAGUAGUAGUUGUUCUGUGUUCCUAUAACAAUAAUUAUAUAGAGCAAAUGAUGUUUUCCUUUAAAU